UCUGGUAGCAAAAUCAUGUGUAAAAAUUUAAAAUAAUGAAAUCAAUAACAUCUCGCUGUGCCGUAAAUAUUUGCCAUUUGACCUAGAAUUUUGUUUCCGGAUUUUCCCAAUUAUUUUAAAUACCUCUUAGACUUGGAAUAUAAAAAAAUCUUUAAUGCACCAAAUUUCCUUUCAAAAAAAGUACUACACAUUAUACAUCAGAUUAAGUUUUAUUUUCAAAAAGGCAAAAAAAACCACACAUCAUAGUAAAAUUAACGCUCUUAUCACUAAAA